rnacentral:rRNA from 1 species
AUUAAACGCUGGCGGCAUGCUUUACACAUGCAAGUCGAACGGUAACAGGGUGCUUGCACCGCUGACGAGUGGCGAACGGGUGAGUAAUGCGUCGGAACGUGCCGAGUAGUGGGGGAUAACGCAGCGAAAGUUGUGCUAAUACCGCAUACGUACUGAGGUAGAAAGUGGGGGACCUUCGGGCCUCACGCUAUUCGAGCGGCCGACGUCUGAUUAGCUAGUAGGUGAGGUAAAGGCUCACCUAGGCGACGAUCAGUAGCGGGUCUGAGAGGAUGAUCCGCCACACUGGGACUGAGACACGGCCCAGACUCCUACGGGAGGCAGCAGUGGGGAAUUUUGGACAAUGGGCGAAAGCCUGAUCCAGCCAUGCCGCGUGUCUGAAGAAGGCCUUCGGGUUGUAAAGGACUUUUGUCAGGGAGGAAAUCCCUAGUGCUAAUAACACUGGGGGAUGACAGUACCUGAAGAAUAAGCACCGGCUAACUACGUGCCAGCCGCCGCAGUAAUAC